rnacentral:tRNA from 1 species
GGGACAGACAAGCAGUGGGGAACUGUCACGGUUUGCUAAACCGAUGGUAAGCUUGAAAACUUAUGGGGUUCGAAUCCCCGUUGUCCCG